GGGUCAUUAGCUCAGUAGGCAGAGCACCUGACUUUUAAUCAGGGCGUCCGGCGUUCGAAUCGCCGAUGACCCACCA
rnacentral:tRNA from 1 species